GCCGGGUGUGGUGGCUCACACCUGUAAUCCCAGAACUUUGGGAGGCCGAGGCAGGUGGAUCACCUGAGGUCAGGAGUUUGAGACCAGCCUGACCAACAUGGUGAAACCCCGUCUCUA
ensembl:misc_RNA Metazoa_SRP Metazoan signal recognition particle RNA